rnacentral:rRNA from 1 species
CCUACGGGAGGCUGCAGUGAGGAAUAUUGGUCAAUGGACGAGAGUCUGAACCAGCCAAGUAGCGUGAAGGAUGACUGCCCUAUGGGUUGUAAACUUCUUUUAUAUGGGAAUAAAAUGUUCCACGUGUGGGAUUUUGUAUGUACCAUAUGAAUAAGGAUCGGCUAACUCCGUGCCAGCAGCCGCGGUAAUACGGAGGAUCCGAGCGUUAUCCGGAUUUAUUGGGUUUAAAGGGAGCGUAGGUGGAUUGUUAAGUCAGUUGUGAAAGUUUGCGGCUCAACCGUAAAAUUGCAGUUGAAACUGGCAGUCUUGAGUACAGUAGAGGUGUGCGGAAUUCGUGGUGUAGCGGUGAAAUGCUUAGAUAUCACGAAGAACUCCGAUUGCGAAGGCAGUUCACUGGACUGCAACUGACACUGAGGCUCGAAAGUGUGGGUAUCAAACAGGAUUAGAUACCCGAGUAGUC